rnacentral:pre_miRNA from 1 species
CGGCGACAGCCGCCGCCGCCGUUACUGUCACUGUUCAAAGAACGUGGCCGUUACAGUUUCCGCUGCCGCUGUGGUCGCCGC